rnacentral:rRNA from 1 species
GAUGAACGCUGGCGGCGUGCCUAAUACAUGCCAGUCGAGCGAACAGACGAGGAGCUUGCUCCUCUGACGUUAGCGGCGGACGGGUGAGUAACACGUGGAUAACCUACCUAUAAGACUAGGAUAACUUCGGGAAACCGGAGCUAAUACCGGAUAAUAUAUUGAACCGCAUGGUUCAAUAGUGAAAGACGGUUUUGCUGUCACUUAUAGAUGGAUCCGCGCCGCAUUAGCUAGUUGGUAAGGUAACGGCUUACCAAGGCAACGAUGCGUAGCCGACCUGAGAGGGUGAUCGGCCACACUGGAACUGAGACACGGUCCAGACUCCUACGGGAGGCAGCAGUAGGGAAUCUUCCGCAAUGGGCGAAAGCUUGACGGAGCAACGCCGCGUGAGUGAUGAAGGUCUUCGGAUCGUAAAACUCUGUUAUUAGGGAAGAACAAAUGUGUAAGUAACUAUGCACGUCUUGACGGUACCUAAUCAGAAAGCCACGGCUAACUACGUG